AAGCGAUGUAACACAACGAAUGUACACACACCUUGAAAACAUCAUAAUUUUAAAGACAAAAUCAAUACUCAUUCAGCAUGUUUUCUUUUAAGUGAUGAAAUAAACUAGAGUGAUUAUAUUUAUUUUGUUUAAUCAGUGAACACAGCAUCAAUGGCUUUUACAAUCACUGGUCAACCCGGAAUGACAGGGUUUAUAUUCCGUUAACCUGAGUACACCCACAGCCUUAUACUGAUGGCAGAGGGAGGAAACAAUAACAAUUAAUCAGAGUCUGAAGCAGUCCCACGCUCUUUUAGUUCGUCCAGUCUUCCAUUAACGGCCCAGAUGGUCCUAUGAUGACUCAACAAUGGAUGACAAGGAAAACACAAUAACACAUUUUUAAGACGAGGUCCACUUUUGAGAACUUUGACUGGAAAUCAUAGUGCUUCAUUUGUGGCGAAAAGUGCAGCCGUCAUAGAGACAUUACAUCAAGAGGUUUUAGCAGAAGUUGGUCCAUAGGACCAAACAAAAAACAUUGUGUGUUUCGGGAAACGACUGAAUUUUUUUUUUAGGUAGGGUAGGUAUUUUUUCUGGUUUUUGCGAUGGCUAACAUGCUUUUGCAAUGGGAAUAUCCGGAAAAAAAACAUCAUACCGAAGUAUGCGCGUCCUAGAAAUUGGACCAUAUUCCGUUUCUUGUUGAAUUCCCAAAUGCGCAUAAUUAAAUUUGUAAUCCGAAACACUCUUCCCUAUUUAAUUUUUACUCGACGUUAUCACAUUCUUCAAACAAACUGUAAAUGUACAGUGUGUUUUAAUCUUUUCUCUCGAGAAAAGCGCGCGCAAAUUAUGCCCUACAUGAACAACGUCACGUCAAACGCAUGGAAAGCGUGCGUGCAUUAAAUUUCCGUUUAAUGUUCCGUGGUAAAUUGUAACAGAAUGAUAUAGCGAAUGAUUUGGAAUUUGACAUUUCCUCAAAAUUAAUUGCAAAUCAAACACACUGUAUAUUUAUCGUAACAGACGUUUACAUAAGUCACUAUUGAAACAGUUAUUGUACUGUAUACUGGUGCAACAGAAAAUCCAGACGAAACUGGAUUAAAUGUUGGAUGUUGUCAAAACGAAUCCCGGAAUAAACCUUCUUCGGAAGAAACAUCCUUCCCUAAAAACAGUAUAGCGGAAGAAACCCCCUUUCACAUUUUGCAUAAACGGAAGAAACACCCUUCCAUAGCGGAACAAACCCCCUUCCAGUUUUCAGACAGGCGGAAUAAACCCCCUUCAUAACUGUUAUAAAAACUGUUCGAAAAACAUUGACACGUAAUUCGAUUCACAAUUUUCCUGUUUGAAGCAAUAAUAAACAUUUUGUAUAUAACAUGCUCACAUAAGUUUCACUACAUUAUAUAUAUAUAUUAGAGACAAAAUAUAAACUGUGCAGUGACAAUCGUGUCUCAAGCUCGUAUGUACCAAUAGGGGUCGUCGUCAACCGGGUUUCAUGUUUCAGUUGCAUACGUAUACCAGGCCACUUUUAUGUACUGAAAAGCAUUUAGAAAAACAAAAUUAUGAAAAAAUAGUGGUUGAUGUAUAACAACAAAAACACAAAUAACACUAUUAAAAAGUCAUAUAAGCGGUACUUUGACCAUUUUGUGUCAAUUUCAUAGAUCUAUAUGUGGGCUUUUAAUUACUAAUUAUAUUAAAAAAACAACAACAAUAGAUUGACAUAAUUAUACACCGAAGUUUGACAGGGAGUUAUGUAGGAGUCACGCUGUUGGGCGGUCGGUCGAUUGGUUGGUCGGUUGUUUGGUUUGUUUGUUUGUCUGAAUCAAAUGUUUAAAGUUUGUUGAGCGACUUCAUUUGUCAAGCAAUUGAAUCGAAACUUGGAAUAUGUAAUCCCCUUUAAAGUGAAGAUGUUUAAGACACUUUUUCAUGAGCAGUGAUCCACACGUUCUUGAGUUAUUUAGCCUUGAUAGUAAACCUAUUAUGGCAAACGUAUACAAUUUUCUCCGUUUGUGAAGUGAUAUUUUUCCAUAUUUCUCAAGCGAUAGAAUUGAAACUUGAAAUAUGGCAAUAACAUGAAGUGUAUGAUGUUCAAGACACAAUUUUGUUUGCUGUUUCAAAGGGGUGAGAGGGUUAAGUCAUGUCUGUGACAAAGCUGUAGUUUAUGUACGUAAAAUGCAUCACGUAUAACGAUCAUGAAGUUUAAACUUAAUUAGUUUUAACCCAAUUCCAAAUCAUGGAAAAAUUGUUAAGAGUUUUAUGGGCAGAUAUAUUGACUUUAAUUUAACAUAAAUGAAAUAAUGCAUAUUGCCACUUUUAACCUGAACGUGUUUUUAAAUAAACCUUGUAAAAUUCUACUUGCAAAUUAUCUGAUAACCUGUAUACUUAUUAUAUUAUGCUUGCAAAAACUGUGCAUAUUUGUUUUAAAUGAGACACUCCAUACAAAUAUAUCAGCACAUGUAAUUUAAUCAUGAAUAAGGCACAAUUCUAAUAUUGGGAGAUUAAUCUCCAAGUAUAAACAUGCUUGACAUUGAUGUCAAUAGAUGCUACAAAGUGGUUCAUUUCUGCAAGAUUCUACACAUUCAUGUUCUCAACAAGAUAUUGUUCUCAAACAGUCGAUACUUACAGAUAAUUCUUACUCACUUUAAGAUCAAAACCGUCGGUGGAUACCGUAAUCCUGACAAGUAAACAAAGAUGAAUAGCUAUUUAUCAUACGUGAUAUGGAGAGUCCUCAGUUAAUCUGCACUAAUCGGAGCAAAUUAUCAGCUACAUUUGUUCGAGUGGACAGAAACCAACGCGUUUAUCUAAAUCUAAAAGUGCUCAGUUUAAAAAUUAUUAUAGGGCGGUUAACUGCAUUGCUUGUAAAACUUGGUUGACAAAUUAAAUUGUUGCAAAAUUUUGCCCAGAUCUUCGACUUCAAUCUGAAAAAGCCAUAUAUACAUGAACAUAAUAAUCUGCAAUUAUGUUGUGUGUGUUUCUUUCCCCAUAGUAAUACUGUAUUCGAAUAGUAAAGCUUAAUGCGAAUGAACUCGUUUAUAUUCGAGGGUGAAGAUAGCUUACUUAUAGCCCUCUACUGAUUGAUAACCCAAGCUAAAAUAAGUCGUAGCUUGCUGAUUCAAGCCGAAAUAGGUCACAGUUUGCAACUUCGAUGAUACGCGUGUCACAGUAUAGAAUGCAUGCUUAUAUACGUAGUACGUUUGAAAAAAGAGUCUUGCUAAACUAAAAUUAGUACUUAUAAAACAAAGUGUCUUUUAUUUCAUUGAAACGAAUUUUGUUUGAAGAAAAAAAAGAUGUGUCUGUUCAAAAGCGCUUGGUGCGAUAUAUAGGUUUACUUAUUUUUGCGUGUGUACUUAAUCGAUUAACUCUUAAGGCUUCUAGCGCAAUCGCUUGUAUAAUUCUAUCUAUGCAAUUAAUUAUAGCAAAUUGUUCGUUAUUCUACCGAUUACAAUGCGUUUUGUUUGGUAACGUGCUCAUCUAAAUCAUUUUUUUUCCAAGUGUGUUUGGAAUUGGAUUAAAGGUAGAUCCAAAAGUGUGCUUCUGCUCUUUGGCGCUGUUCGGCAAAUGUUGCUGUAAUUUCACCCGACUUAUAUUUUAAGUUGAGUCCAAAUACAUCCUUGCUUGAAAUUAAUUCCUGAGUCAGACAAAAAAAAUGUGAUAAAAGUCAUAAAACAUAUCCUCGGCGGUAAAACAAUUUGGCCGCCUGUGAAAAGUUUGUUUGAAAAGCUCUCCAAAAACAAGGAUAUUAUCAUUAAGUGUGGGAAAUCUUAACUCUGCACAAAUGUAAAGACAAUUGUCCCAAUCAAGUGAUUUCUACUGAUAGCAUGUUCUGAUUUCUUCGCCAAGCUGUUUGUUUUCACUGCUGAUGUGUGCACAAUGAUUUUAUCUUAUCUGAGUACACAUUGCUCACGAAGACCUUUUGUGACAAUAUUAUGUGCGUCGCCUGUUCGUUAUCAUGUACCAUAUCAACACUUCAGAGCACAAAUGGAUUGCUCAAUUUUCACGAAACUUUUUCAGCACGUUUGUCGCAAUGAUAUUUCGGACAACGUCACUAGGUCAGAUUAAAACAAGGGCUUGUGAAAACUCUAGAAGAAACAUGUGUUACACAAUCUUCAUGAAGCGUACCCAGAACAUGUGUUUUUAUGAUAUAUCAGCAGAGUGUUUGGAAACGAUUUUUGUUCGUUAAAAACAUGGCCGUCUGCGGGAGGGGGGUAGCAGCUGUUAUAACAUGGGUAUAGUCAAACCUUGUGACCCUCUAGAAGUCUGAUGUUUUGCACAAUCAUUAUGAUACUUGCAUAGAACCAUUUUUUCAAAUGAUAUAUCAGCAUAAUUUGAAAAUGGCCCUUGUCCUUUUAAAAACAGUUUUCUUAUGUGGCUAUAGUGAAACAUGGAGGUGAGGCAGUUGUUCGAGGCUAUAGUGAUAUAUUGUGGACGCGCUAGAAGACAAUCAUCAUUAAUUUCAAUCAGAACAUUUUUUAAUGAUAUCUCGGCUAAGUUUGUAAAUGAUUCCGGUCUGAUUUUUCUUCUUUUGCGUCUGGGAAACCAUGUAAACACUUAAAAACACAUAUCAUUUUGUCCAAUGAUCAUUAAACUUGCUCAGAACAUUAGUUCUAAAGAUUUCGAGGUCGAGUAUGAAAUAAGCGGUUCUACUGACCUAUUGUGUAGACAUCGAUGUUUCAACAAAAGGGAUUAAAAUGUGCGAAAGUGACUCUUUGCGGAUAAUGGAGCGUGUCUGUCAAAAUCGUCAAUACUAUGCGUAUCCUUGGAAAUUUAUGAAAUUCUACGCUGGAUUAUAGUGUGCAAUCGAUUAUUGCCGGACGUAAAAUCGGAUGAUUGAUAACGAUAGCGGAAGUGGUAAAUGCGCGGUUAUUUUCGGGCACUAUUUUUUUCAGAGAUCUUUUUUUUACAAGACGAAAAAAAGUAGGGUCGGGACCAAAAUCGUAGGUAGGGUCGGGUUACCCGAAACACACAUGUUUGUUUGUUUGGCCUAGUUGAAACUUCUAUAUCUUCAGACUCUAACUCUUUAUAUCGCAAAGUGUAAGAUAUUGCUACUGCAAUAAAUGAUGUAGCCAUUAUUGACAGAUUGGCAAUUGUUCCAAAUGGUGAUCUUGUAGCCAUUGAG